AAACAAGCCGCCAUAACAGAGAGAACACGAAAGCGAAUGCAAGGCCUACAAGUGAAAUCUGCAAGCCAUAUUCACUUCAUGAUCCGUGUGUUUCUCUGAUGUUUGGUGGGGACCAGUCCCUACAUAAUUAUUCCGCCCUACCUAACUCUAGCCUGACAGAGGAGGACAGCAAACUUGACAAUACAGACGCUAACACAGAGGGUCAAGCUGUUUCCAAGAAAAGAAGAAGGAAAACAAAUCUUUGGCUACACAGACCAAAGCAGAGAAAUCCUCGACCGUCAUCUCCAAACGAGGGGCAAUCUGGGUGAGAAAUUCUAGGCAGUCACAGACUGUUCUGUUCAAAGAUGUCCUUCUCUACAUUAAAAUCAGCCAAUUUUAAUAUUCAACAAAAAAAUAUUUUUUUCUUGCUGCUUGGUUUGAGAGAACUACUUACUAAUGUCCGUUGUUGGAAACUAUUAUCAACACAAUUAAUUGUAUAAAAAUAGCCAUUUGAUAUUGACAGCUUUUUUUAAUUACAGUAAGGAUAGCAUGUCCGUGAAUGGUUUCAGUACUGAGGAUGACAGUCGUCCGGGACAUGAUCAAAUCUGUUGUCUGAUUGAUAAUAGUGAAAGAUGUAACAACAGUGCAGGAAAUGCAAGCUACAGUAAAAGAAUCCAAAAAACUGUUCAGCAGAGGAAACUCAAGUUGGCAAGAGAUGAUAGGGUCUCACAUAUUUAUAUCUGUGACUAUCAUAAAAACGUUAUUCAGAGCGUGAGGUCCAAGAGGAAGAGGAAGGACAGUGAAGAUGAGAACGGGUCCAUAGAUGGCUCGGAGGAUUUGCCAGAGAUAGACUUUUUUCAAAUGCCAGUGAACACGUUGAGGCGGUACAAAAGGCACUUCAAGUUGCUAACUCGACCAGGAAUGAACAAAGCCCAGUUAGCAGAUCAUGUUGCCAGACAUUUUAAAUCAAUUCCAGUGAUUGAAAAAGAGGCUCUAACCUACUUUAUUUACAUGGCCAAGAACUAUAAGAGCAGAUUUGAUCAAAACAUUUGGAGCAUUCUAGUUCCUAGAGUUUUGUUUCGUUUUACAAUUCAAAUGAUGAGGAGUGCUAGGAGAAGUGGUAGGAGAGUGAAAGUUGUGUCACAAACAAGUUAAAAUGUGUCAAGGUCCCAAGGACCUUGUUUAUCAGUAUCGAUGAACAAUUUUGUGUGGUUUAAUGUUUGUGAGAUUGACUGACUGAUGACCUGGUGCUUGUGUGGUGCUGUAUAAAAAAUGUGAACAUGUGAAUGUAGUAAUAAAUUAGAAAAAG
rnacentral:misc_RNA from 1 species